CGGCAAGGGUGAGGAAGAGGAGCAACGGCGUGGCGGUGCCUUCCCUUCGAAGGUCUCGCGUGCGUUGGUUUUGGGCUCAAGGGGAAGGGGAGAGCGCGCGGGCGGGCGGGCGGGUGCCCUAAAGGAAAGAAGGGGCGGAGGUGCGCGGGAGAAGUCUAGGUAGGUAGGCAUUCGCGGAGCUUCGUUAGGGGGACGAAAGGGUAAGCUAGGUGGACGAGGGCGGCGGCGGCAGCGGCCGGCAAGUAGACUGGUCCCCGCUUGCUAAGGGGGGAGGGGAGAGACGGAGGAGGAGCGACAACGUCCACUAAGGCAGCCCCCGCCCGGUGUACCGCCGCCGCGAGCGCCACUGCCUGCUCGACCGGGACGGAGAGGCGCGCCACCCCCUGGACCGCCGCCGACGGCCCCAGAGCGCCCUCCUCCAGAAGCAGUAGUGCGUCACGCGGAGCGAGCCACCCUUCAACGGAAAACUACUGCGCAGGCACCCACGACAAGACAGACAAUAUUUUUUACAACUCUCGAAACCUCUAUUCAACCAACGACUUUAAUCGGCUCACGACUUUCGACCACCUUAACACGACCAUGUCUCGAAGUGUGGGAGGUGACUGGUCUUCGGUUUGUUAAUAUAGCUCGCGGUCGAUGAGUACCCACCAAAACAACUUCACGUUCGAAGACGAUGUUUGAGCGUUCUAUCGCACGUUAGACAAUGAUAGUUCCGUUUCUUCGGAAGAACCUAAUACCCAAGAAGGAAAGGGGACUUCUUUCGUCAUUUCCGAGAAGGUUUCUAACUUUAACUGCUACUACUACUUGACUAACUGCUUCUGUCGGAGAACUGACUCCUCCUGAACUUCUUCGGUGUCGAAGGUCAACAUCCUCUAACACUCCACCCUCGAUGUUUCUUCCGUACGUUCUUGACGUCAACACCGUCCCGGCUCCGACUCGUCUUCCACCUCUUCGACCCCGAGUGACGUCUUGUCUAACUAUUGGGACAGAGUCGAACACCGUCAACACCCAACCCGCUGCGAAAGGCUACGUCGUGGACGGGUAUGUCUCCGGACCGCGGCAAGUUCAACCCGCUCUUCCAAUGGAACAGACUGUUGAAGGAGAGUCGGCUGUAUACUACUGCCUGUCGUCAACGCCUAUACUUUACGCGGAACAACCUAAACAACCAAGCAAUCCUUCUAUAUAGACGCAUACCAAAAAAGCACCACUACCACCACCACUACCACCAAUGUCGUUUUCUUCCCCUCACGCAAACCUCAUCGUCGAGCACAAUCGUACAGCACGCACAGGAACGAGAGGGUGGAUCCAACUUCGUUCUUAACCUAGCACACACGCGGAGACAUAAGCCGUUCUUCUAAUGUACGUACAUUAAACUGCUUCUUUGUAUACUACCUUUCUGAAACCAGACGAUGUACAAGAACAAAACGAGGGUAGACCAAAUAUGAUGAUGAGGGAGGCAAGGGAUUAUAUUCUGAAAAUCGAAAAAAUAAUCAUACAUACAAUUCUGUGUGAAAUCAUACAUAAAAUGAAUAAAUCACGAGGAGGGCAUGAUUUAAUGAACAGCGUCUUGAUUUACAUAGAUCUGUAUAAAAACCAUAAAAGUCAAAACCUAUGUAGGUUAAAAUAGAUAAACACACUGUUCAUAG
rnacentral:rRNA from 1 species